rnacentral:rRNA from 1 species
AUUGAACGCUGGCGGCAGGCCUAACACAUGCAAGUCGAACGGUAACAGGAAGAAGCUUGCUUCUUUGCUGACGAGUGGCGGACGGGUGAGUAAUGUCUGGGAAACUGCCUGAUGGAGGGGGAUAACUACUGGAAACGGUAGCUAAUACCGCAUAACGUCGCAAUACCAAAGAGGGGGACCUUCGGGCCUUUUGCCAUCGGAUGUGCCCAGAUGGGAUUAGCUAGUAGCUCGGGUAACGGCUCACCUAGGCGACGAUCCCUAGCUGGUCUGAGAGGAUGACCAGCCACACUGGAACUGAGACACGGUCCAGACUCCUACGGGAGGCAGCAGUGGGGAAUAUUGCACAAUGGGCGCAAGCCUGAUGCAGCCAUGCCGCGUGUAUGAAGAAGGCCUUCGGGUUGUAAAGUACUUUCAGCGGGGAGGAAGGGAGUAAAGUUAAUACCUUUGCUCAUUGACGUUACCCGCAGAAGAAGCACCGGCUAACUCCGUG